GGCACUGAACAUUGACCCUACAUGUGUAGGAUAGGUGGGAGGCUUUGAAGCACGUACGCCAGUAUGUGUGGAGCCGUCCUUGAAAUACCACCCUUGUAGUGUUGAUGUUCUAACGUCGACCCCUUAUCGGGGUUGCGGACAGUGCCUGGUGGGUAGUUUGACUGGGGCGGUCUCCUCCCAAAGAGUAACGGAGGAGCACGAAGGUGGGCUAAUCACGGUUGGACAUCGUGAGGUUAGUGCAAUGGCAUAAGC
rnacentral:rRNA from 1 species